UCUUAUAAUGGAUAAUAUCUGAUGUUAUGUUUCUUUCACCAGUGGAAAUUUGCUCAUGUUACAUUCAGUAAGCCAGAAUACCUCCAAGAUUCAGAUAUUGUAAUGAACAGAUUCCAUAAACAGAGACCUGUUUAUGGAGGUUGGGAACAACACCUUGGAUUGGAGCAUACAACCACUACCCCAAAAAGGUCCUACUUAGGCAACAACCAGAACCGCCAUUCUUUUGAGAAGCAUGUGAGGAUUUACAACUAAAGCUGGGAAUACUUUUUACAUGUGAUGAAUG